AGAGGCCUCUCUUCUGAUAUCCUUCUUAACUUAAUCUACACUGGCUGUGGGUUCCCUUUAUUUUUUUUUCUGGAAUCCUAGAGGAUGCACGGAUACAAUUCACCCAAUGUGUCCAUCUCUCCUCUCCUAAGUGUCAGUCUAUAGGUUUCUGACCUCUAGAGGAAUCCCUGAAGCUGUACAGCUAUACUUUACCGGUUACGUCUAGACUAUAAAGGACCACAGUGUUCCACCUCAGGCAGGUUCAGCGACCUGCAAGUAGUGAUACAGCUGGGAAAGUUACAGAGCCUGCGGGAAGCUCCGGCUGCAACUUCAGUUCUGACCAGAGGUUCUGUGAACCUUCAGGAUUUAGCAGGUUUCCAGGACCGGUGGGUGAAUCUACCCGGGGAAGUUUUGGUGGACAAGAGCUGCUCGCCAGCUGUCGGAGUGGGAGAGGCCAGCGUGCUGGCUCCAUCCACUUCACCUAACACCUCUGAAGUGUCUGCCCUGCAGUGUGGCAAGCGUGGUGCUGAGCGCUUCUAAAUCCGUCGCUUUAAAGAUCAUUAGUACAAUGUUGUGAGAGGGUUAGCUCCAUUUGAAAAUUAUUUUCCCGUGAUUACAAAAGAAGCGAUGCUGACUGCAGAAGUUAGAACUGGGAGAAGACUCAUCACCCCCAUGAUCAUGUCAACAACUGCCCUCCUUCAGUUUUGGUUUGUUUUGUGUGUACACUCUGUCAUCUUUCCAUUGAGGAAACUCAGGCUAGAAGAAGGAUAAAAACAAAACAGAAAACAAAACAAAACAAAA
ensembl:lncRNA PDZRN3-AS1 PDZRN3 antisense RNA 1